rnacentral:rRNA from 1 species
UACGUAGGGUGCGAGCGUUUGUCCGGAAUUAUUGGGCGUAAAGAGCUUGUAGGUGGUUUGUCGCGUCUGCUGUGAAAAUCCGAGGCUCAACCUCGGACUUGCAGUGGGUACGGGCAGACUAGAGUGUGGUAGGGGAGACUGGAAUUCCUGGUGUAGCGGUGGAAUGCGCAGAUAUCAGGAGGAACACCGAUGGCGAAGGCAGGUCUCUGGGCCGA